UACGUAGGAGGCGAGCGUUGUCCGGAGUUACUGGGCGUAAAGGGUGCGCAGGCGGCCUGCCGCGUGGGGGGUGAAAUCGCCCGGCUUAACCGGGCGGGGGCUUUCCAGACGGGCAGGCUUGAGGAGCGGAGAGGGGCGCGGAAUUCCGGGUGGAGCGGUGAAAUGCGUAGAGAUCCGGAAGAACACCGACGGCGAAGGCAGCGCCCUGGACGUUAUCUGACGCUCAUGCACGAAAGCGCGGGGAGCGAACAGG
rnacentral:rRNA from 1 species